CACCCUUUUAUCAGUGGCAGGAGAUGCAGUCACAGUAACAGAAGUGGAGGAGAAGAAAAUGCAUCUUAUGGUAGCUCAUCAGAGAAGCAAAGACUUAUCAGUCUAAGGAUGAACUUCUACAGAGGUGGCCUUCCCAAGCCCAAAGACUGCGAAAACGAUGGAAAGACCUGAGUAUUUUACAGGCCUAUUAAUUCAUAGCAAUGAACAUGGUGCACCAUACAAACCCCUGUGACCUCUAAAAGUCCAACAAACACCCAUCACUUUGAAGAAAACAGUGAAAUUCGGAAUGGCUUGCACCUGAACAUAAGUGUCCUUGGAGCUAAUGAGGUGAUAUAUCCUACACAAAGAGGCAAAGAAUGAACUGACCAACAAGUCUUGGAUUUUAGAGUACCAGCCUGACAAACACAGGCUAAGUGACAUGGCUGGCAAUGUGAAAGAACACCAAAUGGGAGGUACGUGCAGAUCUCAGGCAUGUGGUUGCACCUAAAGAUUUAAUAAAGAAUCAGCCAUCCCCUGAGGCAUGGAGAAGAAAAAAUAAAAAUAAAAAAGAAUGCAAAAACACACAUAAAUUUGAGCUCUGGCCUUCUCCCCACUGACUGGCUGCUAAUUUCUUGAACUUCACCCAGGCUGUGUAUCCAACAGACCACAUGGUGAUUGCUAAAUUGCUCAAUGACCACAAGCUACAACCAUGAGGAAAAUAUUCAUGAAAAUUAACAUCCCAUUUAAUACUUAACCACAUUUCCAGCCAACGCUUUGUGUACCAGAAAGUCCUCGAACUGGCUCCAAAACUUUUCAAUUCCUGACAAAUGCACUGGCCCCUCUCCAAGGAGCUGGGCAGCAAUCUGUGCUUUAUGC